GUGCUCACUUGAGCAGCACAUACACCAAAAUUAAAAUACAGAGAUUUGCGUGGCUUUUGUGUGAGAAUGAUAUGCAAAUUGUGAGGUGCUCCAUAUUUUU
rnacentral:snRNA from 1 species